rnacentral:rRNA from 1 species
UGGGGAAUCUUCCGCAAUGGGCGCAAGCCUGACGGAGCAACGCCGCGUGAGUGAAGAAGGUCUUCGGAUCGUAAAGCUCUGUUGAUGGGGACGAACGUGCCUAAUGCGAAUAGUAUUAGGUAAUGACGGUACCCAUCGAGGAAGCCACGGCUAACUACGUGCCAGCAGCCGCGGUAAUACGUAGGUGGCGAGCGUUGUCCGGAAUCAUUGGGCGGAAAGGGAGCGCAGGCGGGCAUGUAAGUCUUUCUUAAAAGUGCGGGGCUCAACCCCGUGAUGGGAAAGAAACUAGGUGUCUUGAGUACAGGAGAGGAAAGCGGGAUUCCCAGUGUAGCGGUGAAAUGCGUAGAUAUUGGGAGGAACACCAGUGGCGAAGGCGGCUUUCUGGACUGCAAGUGACGCUGAGGCUCGAAAGCCAGGGGAGCGAACGGG